GAGGGUUUGAUCCUGGCUCAGGGUGAACGCUGGCGGCGCGCCUUACGCAUGCAAGUCGUGCGGGGCGUGGGCUUCGGCCUGCGCCCAGCGGCGGACGGCUGAGUAACACGUGGGUAACCUGCCCGGAAGUGGGGGAUAACUCGGGGAAACCCGGGCUAAUACCGCAUGUGGUCCCAGGGGGAAGUUCCCUGGGACUAAAGCCCGCAAGGGCGCUUCCGGAGGGGCCCGCGGCCUAUCAGGUAGUUGGUGGGGUAACGGCCCACCAAGCCGACGACGGGUAGCCGGUGUGAGAGCACGACCGGCCAGAGGGGGACUGGGACACGGCCCCCACUCCUACGGGAGGCAGCAGCGAGGAAUCUUGGGCAAUGGGGGAAACCCUGACCCAGCGACGCCGCGUGGGGGAAGAAGGCCUUCGGGUCGUAAACCCCUUUUGCCGGGGAAGAAGCCCUGACGGUACCCGGCGAAUAAGCCACGGCUAACUACGUGCCAGCAGC
rnacentral:rRNA from 1 species